UGGGGAAUAUUGGACAAUGGGCGCAAGCCUGAUCCAGCCAUGCCGCGUGAGUGAAGAAGGCCUUAGGGUUGUAAAGCUCUUUCACCCGUGAAGAUGAUGACGGUAGCGGGAGAAGAAGCCCCGGCUAACUCCGUGCCAGCAGCCGCGGUAAUACGGAGGGGGCGAGCGUUGUUCGGAAUUACUGGGCGUAAAGGGCGUGUAGGCGGAGUAUCAAGUUAGGGGUGAAAGGCCUGGGCUCAACCUGGGAACUGCCUCUAAAACUGAUAGUCUAGAGUCCGGGAGAGGAUGGCGGAAUUCCUAGUGUAGAGGUGAAAUUCGUAGAUAUUAGGAAGAACACCGGUGGCGAAGGCGGCCAUCUGGUCCGGUACUGACGCUGAGGCGCGAAAGCGUGGGGAGCAAACAGGAUUAGAUACCCCCGUAGUCC
rnacentral:rRNA from 1 species